rnacentral:lncRNA from 1 species
UAUUUUUUCUCUCCGUAAAGACCUCAUGCCUUUUGGGUACUGGUAAUUCAAACUUCAUCAGCUCUUCUUGCCGUGAGAGAAGAAAGAGAUUUGCUACUGGGCAUCUUAGUCUUCUUCCUUUUUCUACUCUAAUCAAGUGCUUGGAUUCCACUUUGUUGUUUCUUUCAUUCAUUUUCCUUUCUUGGUUGCAUAUUUCUCAUCUUUAAGGCAACAAUUCUGAAUUUAUAUAUAGAAAAUAAGAAGACAGUUAGGUAAGAUACAUCUUCUUCUUCUUCUGAGUCCAAUUUUUUACUAGUUAUUUUCUCAGAUCCAAUAGCUUUUGUAUUUUAGUGGAUUUUGUGGUCUCUCUGAUUAGUUGUGCCUGUUUACUUAUGGAUAUGCAGAACAAAUUCGGAGAAUCAAUCGCUUGGAACUUUCUCUUUUGUCCUCUUUUAUAUAUAGUAAUUUCUCAGGUAAGCUUUCUGAUCAUACACUGUCAGUCAGGCGUAAUUGAUUACUUGAAGCUUGGUUUAGGUUCUUUAAAAGAAUAGAUUAUAAUUUAUGAAACCAUAUAAGAUUCGUAAGUAGAAUUUUGUGCAAUGAAGGUUCUGGCAUUUUUAUUACGCACAUUCAAAAGAUUAUACUUGGUUUCAUGUUUAUCUAAAUCUUAAAAAAAUAUUGUUAAGUAAUUAAUUAUUAAAAAUUAUUUUUAAAUUAUUUUAAUAUAUUAAUAAUAAUUUAAAAAUAAUUUUUUAAUUUAAGAGAAUUUAAAUAAAUUAUAUAUCACAUUUAAAGAAGUUUUAUCGUUAAAUUCAUUAAUAUAAAAAAAAAUUAGUCAUACAAAAUCAAAUUUUAUAGGAAUCUUUGAUAUUAAAUUUUUUUUAAUUUUUCAAUAUGUCAAUUUAGAAAGAAUUCCUUAUCAAUAAAUUUACAUAUAAAUUGUUAUUUAUAACACUCUAGUAAUUUUAUAAUUGGGAUAUCCAAAACUAAAUUUUAUGAUAUGAAAACAUUGAACUUACGAUCAAGUUCAAAACUCGAUCAUUAGACACUAUACAUGAAAUUUGUUAUUAAUUAUUUUUUAUUUAGAUAUGAUUGGUUAUAUAAUAUAUCUAUCUUUCUUAAAGAGGUCUGCACCUUAACUCAGAUUUAUGAAUUUAAUUUUUAAUUUUAAUUAAAAGAAAUUAUUAAUUUAAACAAAUAAAUAAAGAACAAAAAUAUAUAUAAAAAAAAAAAAACCAAAAACUGUCUCGGCUCCUCUAAUGUAAUGGCUAGACGGCUCGCAAAAUGGCUCCCUCAAUAGGCUCAGCUGAAGAAGGAACCCCGGGUUUUCAAGUCUUCUACACGGGUUCCGGGUUGGGCUAACAAAAAAAGGUGCAGAUUUUGGGCUAUUCAAAACACCACGUUUCAGCUUUGUAUAAAACUUCAAAAAAUUUAUUUGCGUUUGAACUUUUCCGUUCACCACUCUAGCUGACCGAAUUUUCUCUCACCCUCUCUCUAACCAAGAUGAAUCCCGGCCCAGAUUGUCAAGCUUUCCCAGAUUCCGGGACCGCUCUUCUCUGUCAGCCGUCGUCAAUCGCCGAUCACCGCCGGCCACCAGUGUUAAACUUGUACCAAAAUUCUCAUCGCGAUCCGCUCUUUCCAAUUUCCUAGCUAGAUUUCUCUGAAAACAACUAAAACUCUUUGUACCCUUCCUUAUGGUGGACUACGAUCUCCAAAACCCUAUCCACCGACGUCUGCUACCGCUAAACCGCCAUUAGUGGUGACUCAAUGGCCUUCGAAAAUCCUUAAACCCACCACCUAAACUAUUUCUCUUUCCCUCCCUACCUAAAAACAAGAGUCUCGAAAUCAGCCCACACAACCCCAAAAUACCUCAUUCCCAAAAGGCUUUUUAUUGUGAUUUAUGUUUGUGUUGUUUUGUGUUAUUGUUGUUGAUUGAGGGCUGUUGAUUUUUUAUGGUUCUCUUUGAAAGAGAAUAUAGUUUGGGUCAUUGGUCUUGGAUUUUUUCUGUUGUUUUCAUUGAAUUUUCUGCAAGUGUUCCUUUUUGAUGGUUGCUGUUUGUUUAUAAUCCAUUAGUCCAAUCCUACACAGAAAUCUUAAAUCAACAUAUUCAUAAGGAUUUCGGUUUGAAUAAAUUCAAUCCCCAAAACAAUUUUAUCUCCAAUCAUCAUCCAUUUCAACUUUUGUUUUUUUUUUUAAUUUUUGGUUUUUUUUUUUUUUUCAAAAAUAAAUUAUAAACUAAAAAAAUAAAUAAAUUAAAAAAUCAAAUAUUUGAUAGAGACUUAAGACCCAAACUAGUCCCAAAUCAAUUCAAAGCCUAAAUUGCAAAUUCAAAUUUAAAUAAACUAAUCUAAAACUCAUAUACCGUAAGAUUUUUUAUGCAAAAAUAUCUAUUAAUAAUUUUUUUUUUGAAAACAUUAUUUUUAAAUUUAUCAAAUUUUACUAUAUGGAUUUAUUUUUAUUUCUCAAAAAUUAUUAAAAUCACAAAAUUUUUCAUUAUAUUAAUAAUGUUUUAUAGUUUAUUUUUUAAAAAUUAUUUUUAAAAAAAAUUAUUAAACGUUUUAAUGUGUUGAUAAGAUUUUAUUUUAAUAUUUUAAAAAUUAACUCUCCUAUAUUUUGAUGAAAUUUUUAACAAUGUUUAUUUUUUUUUUUAUUUAAAAAAUUUAAAACAAUAAAUAUAUAAAAUAUAUAAAAAUACAAAAAAUAAAAAUAAUCUUACCAGUUCGGCUUAGUAAGUGGUGUGGCUCGGUGGCUCAACCCAGCUCGAACUGCUGGAUGCUAAAACGAGUCGGGAGUUGCGAGCACUCUAGUCGGAUUGGGCUAACGGAAGCACAUGGAUUCUCUUUUAAUAAAAGAGUGUGUUUUGGCUUCUAUAAAAGCCAAGUUUUUGCCUUACCAUUUAUUUCCCUUCUCUCUCUGAGCUAAUUUUUCUCUAACCUCAAUCUUCCCAAACUCAGAAACGAUGAACUAUAGCACUAGAUUUUGAAAAAUCUCAUCGACAACUUUAAAAUGUCGUUGAAAUUUCGUCGAAAAUACCAAAGACUUACUGAAAAACUCAAUGGAAUUUGGAGAAUUUCUGGAUUUUUUAUAAAAAAAUUUAGCAAAUCCUCCCCUCGACAGAUUUGAUCUCACAAACACUAUUAUCUACAAUUUGUCCUCAAAAUCACACUUAAAACCUUUCAAACCCGGAAAAACAAAUAAAAAAUACUCCAAAUCAGUACCCUCUUCUGGCCAAACUUUCACCCAUCUUUUUUUUAUAUUUUCACUCUCUUUUGUGUGAAUUCUCUCUGUGCAAUUGCUUUCCCCCUUAAUUGUUGCAACAACUUAGGAAUAUAUAAUAGUUGAAUCCUGAUUUAGAUAGUUAUCCAAAACAAAAAGGAGAUUGAGCUUCUAAAAAUUCAUCUAUCUUAAUCUCUAAAUUUUAUUUGAAAAAUUUUAUCAUCAAAGAAGUCCAUCUACUUUUGGAUUUUACCUAAAGAAUUGCGCAUAUCCAACAUAAUAAAAAACCCCAAUUCACUCUUGCACCAUCUUUAUCAAUGUGAGAUUUUUUUAGAAAUAGU